rnacentral:rRNA from 1 species
GACAGAGGGUGCAAACGUUGUUCGGAAUUACUGGGCGUAAAGCGCGUGUAGGCUGCUCUGCAAGUCGGAUGUGAAAGCCCCGGGCUCAACCUAGGAAGUGCACUCGAAACUGCGGAGCUUGAGUCUCGGAGAGGAUCGCGGAAUUCUCGGUGUAGAGGUGAAAUUCGUAGAUAUCGAGAGGAACACCGGUGGCGAAGGCGGCGAUCUGGACGAUGACUGACGCUGAGACGCGAAAGCGUGGGGAGCAAACAGG